rnacentral:lncRNA from 1 species
UUCCUCAGAUGAUCACACCCACUUUGCUUCACUUUCAUGUCCAGAGCUGCUUAGACUGAUUUCUGCAAAGUGCACAGGCAUUUUCAUGCUGAGGAUAAAGAUACAGAUUUUUAAAACAUAUUCUUAUGCAAGGAAGGAAAAAGUGUCGGACCAUGAUCGCUUGUCUGGACCCAGAAAAUAUUUCCCAUUUGCUACACAGAUGCCGUCUCAUCCUUCCAGAGUUCAAGACUUCAGCAGAAAAAAAAAUCACCUCAUUAAAGGAAAAUUGUGCCUUAUCCCCACUACUCGAAGAUGCAACCAUCUGCCUGGUCACAGCCACUUUUUUCCUUUUUUUCGCACUCCAUCGUAUGUGUGUGUGGUGGGGCAGGGGAUAAGGGGAAUAAUCUCUCUCCAGUAUAAGAAGGGAUCAAGAAGCAACAGGACUGCGGGAUGGGAUAGAAAAUAAUUUUCAUCUUAGCAAUAUUGAGUAUUCCAGUACAUGAGUAUUGUAUGUUUCUCAAUUCACUUAGAUCCUUAAUUUCCCUUAGUCAUGUUUUGUGAUUUUCAGUAUACAAAUCUUGUACUCUGUAUUAAACCAUUCUUGCAUUGCUGUAAGUGUGUGGCCCUUUACAGGGGGUCCCAGAGAGCCUUCUUUCUGCUAUGCGAGGAUACAAGAGGAAUUCAACAAUCUGCAAUCUGGAAGAUAACCCUCCCAGAACCCAAUCAUGCUGGCACCCUGAUUUUGAACUUUCAGCCUCCAGAACUGUGAGACAUCAAUGUAUUUUGCUUGUGCUGUGAACAAGAGAAUCUUAGCUCUGACGGGGAAUGUGUCAAAUGGAGAUAGAAGUUCAUGAAGCAGAAGCACAACAGGUGGUGGUUUGUCCUUUAAGCAAGUACUCAAUAAUUAAGGCUGAUCUCUUUGACUCUUCACUGGGAGCAGAAAAAGAGAGAGAGAUGCUGAAGAUGGAAGAAUGGACACAAUAGAAUUUGCUAUCCCUUCGUAUGUCUUGAGAUCUAGUACAAAGAUUCUGGGACAAGAAUAUUCGUGCUUUGUUUAGGGAACAGCAAGAGAAGUCACAGUUACUGGAGCAGAGUGACAGAUAAAGGGAGAGUUUUGCAGUUUUUUAUGAAGUUGAACAUACACAUAUCCUAAGAGCCAGUUAUUUCGAUCUUCUUUAUCAAAGGGAAAUAAAAACAUAUUUCUUCAAAAAGAUCUGAUUUUCUAAUUGUUAAGUGGUUGAUUUUCACACAUCAGCCUAAGCCUUUAGAAGAACCCUCAAGUUGAUUGAAUGUGUGGAUAUAGAUCUCACAGAUGUGGAGGGCUGGCUGUGUACACACACAGGGAGAAGACUGUAUGAAGAUACCAGCAAAAGGCAGCCAUCUACAAGCCAAAGAGAGAAGCCUUGGGAUGAACUAAUCCUGCUGAAAUCAUGACCUUGCAUAUUUUGCCUCUAGAAUUGUGAGAAAAUAAAGUUC